rnacentral:rRNA from 1 species
AUUGAACGCUGGCGGCAGGCCUAACACAUGCAAGUCGGACGGUAGCACAGAGAGCUUGCUCUUGGGUGACGAGUGGCGGACGGGUGAGUAAUGUCUGGGGAUCUGCCCGAUAGAGGGGGAUAACCACUGGAAACGGUGGCUAAUACCGCAUAACGUCGCAAGACCAAAGAGGGGGACCUUCGGGCCUCUCCCUCACGGAUGAACCCAGAUGGGAUUAGCUAGUAGGCGGGGUAAUGGCCCACCUAGGCGACGAACCCUAGCUGGUCUGAGAGGAUGACCAGACACACUGGAAAUGAGACACGGUCCAGACUCCUACGGGAGGCAGCAGUGGGGAAUAUUGCACAAUGGGCGCAAGCCUGAUGCAACCAUGCCGCGUGUAUGAAGAAGGCCUUCGGGUUGUAAAGUACUUUCAGCGGGGAGGAAGGCGACGCGGUUAAUAACCGCGUCGAUUGACGUUACCCGCAGAAGAAGCACCGGCUAACUCCGUGCCAGCCGCCGCCGUAA